ACAAUAGAGGUGAACAAAGGAGACACAAAACCAGUCUUUAUGCGUCUCCUUGGGGCCUCCACAACACCAUGAAAUUUGAGGCCUCUGUUAAAGUUUGUCUCCUCCAAUAAAACAGAGGAGAGCUUUUGAUUUCUCAUAGAAAAAUCCCACCCGUGCGAAUAAUUAACUUAUCAAAUUAAAAACACAGCACAGCCCAAGCCCGCAAAUUCUAAUAACAAAUUUGGGUUAUCCUCAAUUUACAUGAGUAGAAGUUAAAAAGAGAGAGAGAGAGAGA
rnacentral:misc_RNA from 1 species